ensembl:lncRNA
GUCUGUGUGCCGUAACUUGAGUGGUCCAUUAAAGGUUUAUACCCGAGAGAUGUUCUAUUGAUGACAUGAAAAUGAAUUGAAGGCUAACAGUAAAUGCGUAACCAAUUAUGGAAGUAUUGAUCUGUUUUUACACAGUAAACAACGUUUAAUAUUUGCAUAAUGUGAAUCUCUUGAUAAUUUGAUGGCUCAAGUCGGAGGUACUUUAACAAUAUAUUUAUCUCUUAAUAAUAGUUCUCUCUCGCAGCUAAAACGCAGAGCAGCUAAUCGUCGCGUCAUGUGACCGAACAGGCCUGUCAACCUAAACAGCAGUUAUUCUCUUAUAACAGGGCAACGGAAUCAAAGUGAAAGAUCACUUCCUCCAGAAUGCUGAACUCUGCUUCCUUAUUCACAAAUCAUCGUAAAACCUUAAUCAGUUGAUGUGAUGUUGGCUCAAAAAAAUGGCGGGGCAUGUCACAAUUAAUCCCCAAAAAUUAUUUGAAUUUAGUUGCGUUUGCAUUAUGUUGAUUUAGGUUGGAGUCUGGAGCCACAUUGCUGUCAACCGUUUCCCAACAGUCAAUAAGAAUGCAAUUGCAAGUAAAUAUGCAUAUUAGUAGUCAUAACACAUUCAACUUUUAUGUGUUUUCUACUGUUCCAACGUCCAAGGCUGGCGCAAAACAACACAUGAAUUUAUGGUGCAUCCUGCAAGUCAUAUUUUAGAAAAAGUCCUGCCGCAGAAGCUGGUAGUUAAAUUCCAGUAUCUUCACAGAGUUCCGCUGGGUGAAUAAUAAAACACAGGCUGGUUUUCAUAUGACAGGCAUGGAGACAGAUGUCACUGAAGCAGCUGCAGACGGGCUUUGUUUGAAAUACAGAGAUUAAAAAAAAAAAAAAAAUCCCAAUGUACACAAAAAUGCCAAAUAGCUUUUUGUACAAAGAAAGUAAAGAACACCUUGAGGCGGACCGAAAAACAAAAGCUGCCUUUCAGAUGUGUUCAUGACGAAUUGCAGAAAUGGGUUUACUUGCCCGGAGAGAUAGGCCACGAGAAGUAUGGAGCUAGUAGAGCCGAAUGAGAGAGAAGAAGAAUCCAGAAUAAAUGGUCACUUGACUGGCUGAGGUCAGAUCGUGUUCAGGUGACUACAACACAGAUGGAACCAAACGGCGAGGCGCUGAGAAAAGCCCCUUUCACCACCACCCCCCCCCCACCCUCACCCCCACCCUGCACUGUAAUGAGUCCCAUACAGACUCAACAUCGACUUGAGCCAGAAGAGAGGGAAAAAAUGUUGAAGAAAUUAUAUUAAUACUGCCCACAGAGAUCGUUCUGCCACGCCAUGCUAUAAUGGCUGCAUGCUUUACAGUGAGAGCGAUCCCACCAGACUAUACGCUAAACACAGAACAUACCUCGAAAUACAGCCGCCCCCCCUCACUAAUAAUGCACUCAAGCUGCAUCGAGGAGAAUUAGAUUUUAGCAUGCAGUCUGCUAUUACUAUUAUUAUUACCAUGACUGGAGACAUGAUUAUUUGACCAGGCAGAUGCUAUGAAGCGAAGCUAAAAAGCCGCGGUAAUGCGGUACGAUGUUUGUGGAAAAUUAUUUAUUGUGUAAGUGUAAUUAAAAAAUCCCAUGGGAUUAUUUUCUUUGUUUUGUGUCUAUGCUUAAACAAAUAAUAAUAUGAAUAUUGAUAAUCAUUUUAAUUUAAAGAACACCUGAACAGCGACAUGAUAUGAGUUUCGUAUGGAAUAAUAGUUUCUUAAAAAUUAAAAUAUCUUUUGUUCAGAUUUUGCAUAUGGUCUACUGAAUUCAAAGCAUUAAUUACUUUUUUAUUUUUAUGAUUAUUUCUGUUGUUUUGCCCAUUACAUUUUUGCUAUUAUCCUCUCACAGCAACUAGUAUAUAUAUCUAGAUACAAUCAGACACAUGAACUCA